rnacentral:rRNA from 1 species
CGGAGUGAACGCCUGGCGGCGUGCCUAACACAUGCAAGUCGAGCGAAGGUGAAACGAGUACUUGUACAAAUUUUAUCUUAGCGGCGGACGGGUGAGUAACACGUGAGUAACCUGCCUUUCGACUGGGGAAUAACAUCGAGAAAUCGGUGCUAAUACCGCAGUAAUGUCACGAGAUCGCAUGGUUUUGGACCAAAGGAGCAAUCCGGUGAUAGAUGGACUCGCGUCCGAUUAGAUAGUUGGUGAGGUAACGGCCCACCAAGUCAACGAUCGGUAGCCGAACUGAGAGGUUGAUCGGCCACAUUGGGACUGAGACACGGCCCAGACUCCUACGGGAGGCAGCAGUGGGGAAUAUUGGGCAAUGGGCGAAAGCCUGACCCAGCAACGCCGCGUGAAGGAAGAAGGUCUUCGGAUUGUAAACUUCUUUGAUCAGGGACGAAUAAAUGACGGUACCUGAAGAACAAGCCACGGCUAACUACGUG